UUUCACAAGAAGCUUGUCAAUUUCACCAGAACCUUGUCAAUUUCACAAGAAGCUUGUGAAAUAAGCAGUGGAUGGUGACAUUUACAUACACCUGUACUUGUUUCCAGGCAUAUUUGUAUGUCAAUUUCACAAGAAGCUUGUGAAUUACCCUGGACAUCCUUGAGGUUCAAUUUGUGAUACCAAUUUGGAGACCCGUAAAAAACCCGCUUUGGUGAAAAUGUACAACUUUGACUGAAGGUCGGACAUUGUUUCACUUUCUCCUACAGGAAUAUUUCAUUCUUUAGCAACAGACAUUGAAGAAUUUCUUUGGAUUUUUACUUUUGUGGUGCUUAUGACAUGAAGCAAAAAAUCUGUGGUAUUUGCUCCGAUAAUUUGUUCUCCGUCUCGUGAAAUUUAAGGCUUUGUUCGGAGAAAGGACAGACAGAGGAUUUUGCAUACUUGGUCCAACUGUGAAGUUGUCUUACAACUUUUCUCCCAUUUGAAAGUAAGUAAUGAGAUAAGGAGUCAAGAAAAUUCAAGAAAAUACUGAAACCGUCCCGCUGGCGUGCCCUUGGUCGUACCAGCAGCCCAUCCUUGGUUAGAGACGGCUAAAAACAAUCAGGUUAAAGGAUUUCUAACUUCUCUGAGAUUUGAACACUGAGGUCUUCUUGCAAUUAAUUUUUUUGGAUAAAGGAGCUAACUAU